GAUAAUUCCAAGGCCCCGGUCCUCCCUGCAAAGGCAAUGAUACUAUACAGUGACACUAAAGUAGACAGAGCACAAGUCCUUUAGAACACAGCGAUUACAGCAGGACUACAGGAGCUGUGUUAACACUGGCAGGAAGGUUUGUAAAGAUACGACUGUGUGCUUCACCUUCACAGGGAUGAGUGUCUCCAGCAGCAGUACCUCAGUGUAAAGUGAAAUGUGUGAGUAAAAUCUUUGUGAAGCAUUAGGGACGCAAACCAGUGUGUUGCCCCUUUAGAUUUGAGGAAGAUGUCUUUCCUAUUUGCAGUUCCCUCCUUUGCCAAGAUACUUCUCUUCCUAAAGGGACUGCUCCAUGUCUGAAGUUUUGGUGGGUGUUACUGUGAUGUUUGUACUGUACCUACGGCAUGAGCUUCUUCAAUGUAGAUAAUGAGGAAAUCUGCUGUGGAGCUGAAAUCUUGGAUGAGCUUGUUGAACUCAUGAAAUUUUAACAUAAAUGAAGGUCAGGUGCAGCUUCCAAAAUUCAGGAUUAAAGGCCGGUUGUCUGGAAAAAAAACAGUUUGUGGUUAAAUCAGUGGAGGGAGAAGGGGCAGAAUUAGACACACACACUGAAUUCAGCCUCUGCCAUGGAGUUUCCUGGGCAACAGUAGUAAAGUCAUUUAUGUUACUUUAGCCCGUAACUCUCCUCCUGGGACAUUAAAAUUGGCAGCAGGACAUCUGCAUCUAUGCAAAACAGGCAGAAAGAUGCUUUCUUUUCCCUAGCUUGCCUCUGACCUGUACUGGAUCCAGCAAUGAGCUUAUCUGAGGGGGACCCAUUCCUUUGUAGAGACCACUAAAGGCAGGAGGCACUGUACAGUCACGCAGCUUCUCCCGUAUGGUCCUCAUCAGAUCUGACUCUCAAAUGACCAACGUUUCAGGACUGAUCUAAAAUGGAUAUACAGCAUGUAGCACGUUGCAGCUUCCAAAGAUCUAUCCUUAGGACUUCAGAAAUCCUAAACAUGAUCAUCUGUGAGGUUUUCCAAAGGACAGUGAGUGGUUCAGGGAUGGACACACAGAGUCCUAAUCCCUUUUAACGAACCUCUUGGACAUGUCUUGAUUUGUUUUUGCUUGUAGCUGAGCAGAGUGGAAGCUGCAGAUUUUAAAGUCAUGCAUCACAGGCUUCAGUACUUCUGGUGUCUUUCUGCAAUGCCCUGUCCGAGCACAGCCUUGUUUGUAUCUUACUGUUUAUUAAACUAAUGUUACACAA